CUUAAAUAACUGCUCAAUUAUUUAUACGAAGCACCUGGGUUACCUUACAAUCUGUUGUUUUAAAAAUAUUUUGUUUAUUAUUGUAUUUUUUUUAGUGUUUUGUAUUUUUUAUAGUUGCAUUUAGUGUGCCAAAAAAUAUGUUGUGAAAACUUGAUGUUCGUGACGUCACACAUACAAUAUGGAAACUUGACGUUCGUGACGUUACAUACCAAACAAUGACGUCAUUCAAAAAAUUGACCUAUUUUGAGGAAAUUUUUUCUUUAGGGAAAAAAAACCCAAAAAACUGACUUUAUGUUAAAAAAAAAAAAAAAAAAAAAAAAGUAUGCGAUACGGGUUUUACCAUGCGAUACGGGGUAUGCGAUAUAGGGUAGGUGAUACAGACUGGAAAAACGAACAUUUAUUAGAUAUACAAAAUAGCUGUAUUUUGUACUAAAUAUAUGAUAAAUAGAGAAUAAUACAUGGCAAAAUCCGUAUCAUAUGUCGUAUCAUCCCGAGACAUCAAUAUCAGCCCAAGGGCCUUAAGGCCCGAGGGAUGAUAUUGGUCGAGGGUGAUACGGCAUGUGAUACGGAUUUUGCCAUGUAUUAUACGCUUUAUCAUAUAUUUCAACAGAAGAGUAUUAUAGUAUAUGAACUGUUUUCUGAUCCAUAGCACUGGGUUACCUUCAGUUCUGGUUUUGUCUUGUGUCAAAGCUUUAAAAUAACUGCUCAAUUAUUUAUACGAAGCACCUAGGUUACCUUACAAUCUGUUGUUUUGAAAAUAUUUUGUUUAUUAUUGUAUAUAUCUAAGUGUUUUAUAGUUGCAUUGAGUGUGCCAAAAAAUAUGUUGUAAAAACUUGAUGUUCGUGACGUCACAUACAAUAUGAAAACUUGAUGUACGUGACGUUACAUACCAAACAAUGACGUCAUUCCAAAAAAUUACCUAUUUUUAGAAAAAAAAUUCUUAAGCAAAAAAAAACCCUAAAAAACUGACUUUAUGUAAAAAAAAAAAACAAAAAAGGUAUGCGAUACGGGGUAUGCGAUACGGGUUUAGCCAUGCGAUACGGGGUAUGCGAUACAGGGUAGGUGAUACAGACUGGAAAAAAGAACCUUUAUUAGAUAUACAAAAUAGCUGUAUUUUGUACUAAAUAUAUGAUAAAUCAGAUUAUUACAUGGCAUUU
rnacentral:lncRNA from 1 species